rnacentral:misc_RNA from 1 species
GAUGAAGAACGUAGCGAAAUGCGAUAACUAAUGUGAAUUGCAGAAUUCAGUGAAUCAUCGAAUCUUUGAACGCACAUUGCGCCCGCCAGUAUUCUGGCGGGCAUGCCUGUCCGAGCGUCAUUUCAACCCUCGAACCCCUCCGGGGGGUCGGCGUUGGGGAUCGGCCCUGCCUCUUGGCGGUGGCCGUCUCCGAAAUACAGUGGCGGUCUCGCCGCAGCCUCUCCUGCGCAGUAGUUUGCACACUCGCAUCGGGAGCGCGGCGCGUCCACAGCCGUUAAACACCCAACUUCUGAAAUGUUGACCUCGGAUCAGGUAGGAAUACCCGCUGAACUUAAGCAUAUCAAUAAGCGGAGGA